rnacentral:rRNA from 1 species
AACCUUUACACUGUACGACAGUGCGAUAAGGGAAUCCCAAGUGCGUAGGCAUAGAGCCUACGCUUUUGUCCACCGUAGGGAGGUGGACGAAUAAGGGCUGGGCAAGACCGGUGCCAGCCGCCGCGGUAAUACCGGCAGCCCGAGUGAUGGCCGAUCUUAUUGGGCCUAAAGCGUCCGUAGCUGGCCGCACAAGUCCAUCGGCAAAUCCACCCGCUCAACGGGUGGGCGUCCGGUGGAAACUGUGUGGCUUGGGACCGGAAGGCGCGACGGGUACGUCCGGGGUAGGAGUGAAAUCCCGUAAUCCUGGACGGACCGCCGAUGGCGAAAGCACGUCGCGAGAACGGAUCCGACAGUGAGGGACGAAAGCUAGGGUCUCGAACCGGAUUAGAUACCCGGGUAGUCCUAGCCGUAAACAAUGCCUGCUAGGUGUGGCUCCCACUACGAGUGGGUGCUGUGCCGUAGGGAAGCCGCUAAGCAGGCCGCCUGGGAAGUACGUCCGCAAGGAUGAAACUUAA